AGUGGGGAAGUUUGCGCAAUGGGCGAAAGCCUGACGCAGCGACGUCGCGUGAGGGAAGAAGGCCUUCGGGUCGUAAACCUCUGUCAAGGGGGAAGAAAAACUUGGUGACUAAUAUUCAUCAGGCCUGACGGUACCCCUUAAGGAAGCAUCGGCUAACUACGUGCCAGCAGCCGCGGUAAUACGUAGGAUGCAAGCGUUGCUCGGAAUUACUGGGCGUAAAGCGCGCGCAGGUGGCAAGAUUAGUCGUAGGUGAAAUCCCCAGGCUCAACCUGGGAACUGCCUACGAUACUGUCUUGCUUGAGUACGGGAGAGGGAAGUGGAAUUCCUGGUGUAGCGGUGAAAUGCGUAGAUAUCAGGAGGAACACCGGUGGCGAAGGCGACUUCCUGGACCGAUACUGACACUGAGGCGCGAAAGCAUGGGGAGCAAACAGGAUUAGAUACCCUGGUAGUCCAUGCCCUAAACGAUGGGUACUAGGUGUAAGGACUUAUUAAAGUCCUUGUGCCGUAGCU
rnacentral:rRNA from 1 species